rnacentral:lncRNA from 1 species
UUCUUUUCUCACAUUUUUGCCCACCCCCAGGGGAAUUAGGGAGAGUCCUGAUGCUGUGCCAGCACUGCUCAGCAGCAGACACAGCACUGGUGUGAUACCAUUGCUGUUUUAGCUACGAGUGCAGAGCACAGCACUGUAUGGGCUGCUGCAGGGAAAGUUAACAUCCCAGCCUGACCCAGUACAUGGUGCCUGAUGUAAUCCUCUGUGAUGUUUGCGAUUCUGGCUCAGCACAUGGGCACCAGAUGAGGCAGAGCAUACUGCAGGUGAUAAAACAAUGGAUCAUUCAUGCAGAGAGAAAAAUAAAGACAAGGAGACUAUUGAUAAAAGAAGUAACUGUGAGCAUCUUUAGUCCUGAUUUCACAGCUUGAGGAAUAUACAGUUGCCUCCAGAUGAGAAGGUGAAGAUAGCCUUCAGUGGAAUAAAAAGAGGUAUUUAAUGAACUCUGCUGAUGAU